UUUUAUGGAGAGUUUGAUCCUGGCUCAGGAUGAACGCUGGCGGCGUGCCUAAUACAUGCAAGUCGAGCGAACGGACGAGAAGCUUGCUUCUCUGAUGUUAGCGGCGGACGGGUGAGUAACACGUGGAUAACCUACCUAUAAGACUGGGAUAACUUCGGGAAACCGGAGCUAAUACCGGAUAAUAUUUUGAACCGCAUGGUUCAAAAGUGAAAGACGGUCUUGCUGUCACUUAUAGAUGGAUCCGCGCUGCAUUAGCUAGUUGGUAAGGUAACGGCUUACCAAGGCAACGAUGCAUAGCCGACCUGAGAGGGUGAUCGGCCACACUGGAACUGAGACACGGUCCAGACUCCUACGGGAGGCAGCAGUAGGGAAUCUUCCGCAAUGGGCGAAAGCCUGACGGAGCAACGCCGCGUGAGUGAUGAAGGUCUUCGGAUCGUAAAACUCUGUUAUUAGGGAAGAACAUAUGUGUAAGUAACUGUGCACAUCUUGACAUCCUUUGACAACUCUAGAGAUAGAGCCUUCCCCUUCGGGGGACAAAGUGACAGGUGGUGCAUGGUUGUCGUCAGCUCGUGUCGUGAGAUGUUGGGUUAAGUCCCGCAACGAGCGCAACCCUUAAGCUUAGUUGCCAUCAUUAAGUUGGGCACUCUAAGUUGACUGCCGGUGACAAACCGGAGGAAGGUGGGGAUGACGUCAAAUCAUCAUGCCCCUUAUGAUUUGGGCUACACACGUGCUACAAUGGACAAUACAAAGGGCAGCGAAACCGUGAGGUCAAGCAAAUCCCAUAAAGUUGUUCUCAGUUCGGAUUGUAGUCUGCAACUCGACUACAUGAAGCUGGAAUCGCUAGUAAUCGUAGAUCAGCAUGCUACGGUGAAUACGUUCCCGGGUCUUGUACACACCGCCCGUCACACCACGAGAGUUUGUAACACCCGAAGCCGGUGGAGUAACCUUUUAGGAGCUAGCCGUCGAAGGUGGGACAAAUGAUUGGGGUGAAGUCGUAACAAGGUAGCCGUAUCGGAAGGUGCGGCUGGAUCACCUCCUUUCUAAGGA
rnacentral:rRNA from 1 species